rnacentral:rRNA from 1 species
GAUGAACGCUGACAGAAUGCUUAACACAUGCAAGUCAACUGGAAUUUGGGUUUUUAACUUAGGUUUGGGUGGCGGACGGGUGAGUAACGCGUAAAGAACUUGCCUCACAGCUAGGGACAACAUUUGGAAACGAAUGCUAAUACCUAAUAUUAUGAUAAUAGGGCAUCCUAUAAUUAUGAAAGCUAUAAGCGCUGUGAGAUAGCUUUGCGUCCCAUUAGCUAGUUGGAGAGGUAACGGCUCACCAAGGCGAUGAUGGGUAGCCGGCCUGAGAGGGUGAUCGGCAAAAAGGGGACUGAGACACGGCCCUUACUCCUCCGGGAGGCAGCAGUGGGGAAUAUUGGACAAUGGACCGAGAGUCUGAUCCAGCAAUUCUGUGUGCAAGAUGAAGUUUUUCGGAAUGUAAAGUGCUUUCAGUUGGGAAGAAACAAAUGACGGUACCAACAGAAGAAGUGACGGCUAAAUACGUG